ensembl:snRNA U6 U6 spliceosomal RNA
GUGCUCGCUUCAGCAGCACAUAUACUAAAAUUUGAAUGCUACAGAGAUUGCCAUGGCCCCUGCACAAGGAUGACAUGCAAAUUCGUGAAGAGGGUCUCUUAUCU